rnacentral:lncRNA from 10 species
CUCCCACAGGCGGUAAUUGGCGAAGGCAGCUUCCUUGCUCUUCUCAAACAGAACGCCGUAGAGAGCUGCAGAGGAGAGAGCGGAGUGAGAGCUCUGCCAUGGGCCCCACAGUGACCCUGUUUGUGAAAAGAGCACAGCUUUCCCACUGCCCCAUUUUCUCAACUAAAUCAAGACAUUUUUCUUUUUUCACAACAGAAUGAUUUUACAUGCCAGAUGAUAGCAUGAACCCCGAAAACCUGAGGCAGGUCUCAGUUAACUUAGAAUGUUUAUUUUGCCCAGGUUGAGGACCGGUGCCCGUGACACAGCCUCAGGAGGUCCUGACGAGAUGUGCCCAAGGUGGUCAGAACACACUGUAGAUUUAUACACUCUAGGGAGACAUGAGACAUCAAUCAACAUACGUAAGAUGAACAUUGGUUUGGUUAAGAUGAGCAUUGGUUUUGUCCAGAAAGGCAAGACAACUCCAAGCAAAGAAGCAGGGUCCACACCCACAGAGGGAGACGCCUAGGACCCAGAUGAAGCCGCUGGAACUGCCUUUAAGAAACACGGAGGAAGAAUCAGGGGAAACCGUUUGUCCCACUCGGGAAAGGGGAAGCCACACGUGUGGAUGACAUCAGCCCAGUCUAGGGGAGGAGAGGCCAAUGCCAGUGAUAAUUAAACUCAGGCUUUUCAGGGAAUUACUCAAGAUUUGGUUCCUAUUUUAAUCCAAACAUAAAGAAAGCAAUGCAUUUAUUGUUUUGAAUUGCAUGGAACUACCCACAGCUAAGGACAUAGUGGGGAAAGACAUUUUUUAAAAAGGAAAGUAGACUGAAAAUGGUAUUUCAACAAUUCUGAAAUGACUGUACACAUGUAAAAGAUUGAACACAUAAGGAAGCAGUCAUACCUAGUGGGAACCAGGCUUCUGGCUGCCGGAGAAUGGAGCGACAGCUACGCAGUGGGGGCUAGAAUAAGCCCCGUGUCUUACCACCUUAAUAAAGAAAUAAUGUGGUGUUGGAUGGUGACCCAAAGUGUAGAGUAAAUAUACGAGCCCAUGCUGAUGCAGAUCAAUGAUUGAGUAAUAAAUACAUCGGGGAGAAGGGACAGGCGUUUUUUAUGGAAGAAUUACAGAGUACACAUAGACAUUCCUCAGGGUGGAGAUUAGCUGCUGUCUUCUUGACUGCUGGCUCCCUGGGCACUCGCUCCCGCAGAACCGCGUGUGGAAAGGGAAGGCAGUGGGUUUGCAGUGGAGAGAUGUGGCCGGCACCACGGAGCCAACGGGAUCAAGGUUAACAUCGCUGGUGAGGAGGCCUGUCCCUGUCCUGUAUCCCCCAUAUGACGGGACAAGAAAGUGCCUCACCAGGGAGCUGUCCUCCGCAAACCCACAGCCCCAGCCUAAUCAUGAGAAAACAGCAAACAAACCAAAAUUAAGGAACAGCCUACAGACUACGGUGCUCUUCAAAAGGGUCCAGGUCAUGAAAAACAAGGAAAAUGAAAAGCUGUCACAGAGCAGCCAGAAGAUACGAUGACUGAGUCCAACAGGGAAUCCAGGACAGGAUCCUGGCACAGAAAAAAGAACCCUCGUGGGAAGCCUGGAGGAACCCAAAUAAAGGCUGUCCCCCCACUAACUGUCACAUGGCAGCGUUACUUCCUAGCUGUACGAAUGUGCCGUGGCUCUGUGAGAUGCUCAGCAUUUGGGGAAGCUGGCACAGGGCCUACGGGGUAAAUGCAUUGGAUCUAUAGGUUGGUACCUUUCAAGGGGACUCUCUGUACUACAUUUGCAACUUUUCUGUAAAUCUAAAACUAUUUCAAAAUAAAAGCUGUAUUUA